rnacentral:rRNA from 1 species
UACGUAGGCAGCGAGCGUUGUUCGGAAUUACUGGGCGUAAAGGGUGCGUAGGCGGUGCCAUAAGUUCGGUGUGAAAUCUCCCGGCUCAACCGGGAGGGUGCGCCGAAAACUGUGGUGCUCGAGUGUGGGAGAGGUAAGCGGAAUUCCUGGUGUAGCGGUGAAAUGCGUAGAUAUCAGGAGGAACACCGGCGGUGUAGACGGCUUACUGGACCAUAACUGACGCUGAAGCACGAAAGUGUGGGUAGCAAACAGG